rnacentral:tRNA from 1 species
GGCCUUGUGGUGCAAUGGUAGUGCGUCUGACUCCAGAUCUGAAGGUUGUGUGUUCAAACCACAUCAAGGUCA